CAAAAGUUGAAGACCUCAACAAGUGGUUGGCAAAUGCAUCCACAAGUGAUACAGUAACCUUGGCUAUCUGUGAAGUGCGAAGGAAAUUCUUUGAUGAACUAUUGAAAGAUGACGGGUGGCUUAUCGAUGAUCAUAUCGACUCGGCCUUAUACCACAUUAGGGAAAGGGCAGUGACAUAUCCACAUAUAUUUCAGCAAGAUUGUGCUAUAUUGGAUUGUUA